UUCAGGGACCAUGCACUCUUUUGGCUCUAAACCCUGGUUCCCGCGCUGCCGUCGCUGUCUGCCUCUCGAGGCCCUGCCAGCCCGCGACACUGUCCACGCGCGAAAGUCCGUACUGACACCGUCCCGUCCAGGAAGCGUCCUGACCACUAUGCGCUCGCUCGGGGAGCAGGUGCGCGACUGGCACCAGGGUGCGGAGGCCGUGGCGCGCGGGGACUGGGGCUGCGCGCUGCGCCUCUUCUCGAGUGUUGAGGAGCUGCCCUCCAGGAUGAGCUUCAACAUGGGCUGCGUGCACCUGCUGGCCGGGGACCCCGAGGCCGCGCUGCGGGCAUUUGACCAAGCCGUGACCAAGGACACCUGCUUGGCCGUUGGCUUCCUCCAGCGGGGUGUGGCCCACUUCCAGCUGGAUCAGUUCCAGGAGGCCCUGUCUGACUUCCAGCUGGCCCUGGUACAGCUGCGGGGCAACAGCAUCAUCGACUACACGCAGCUGGGCCUACGCUUCAGGCUGCAGGCCUGGGAGGUACUGUACAAUGUGGCGUCUGCACAGUGCCAGCUGGGACUCUGGGCCGAGGCUGCUAACACGCUGGCUGAGUCCAUAUCCAGGUGGCCAGAGAGGGCACGGGAGGGUCUGACUACAGCCCUGUACCACGUGCAGAAACAGGCCCCCCUGCAGCCACGGCAGGUUCCCCCCGGCGAGGUCUUCCGGCCCCACAGACGUUACUUGGAGCAUCUGGAACCCGUGGACUUCCUAGGCAAGGCCAAGGUGGUGGUCUCCACUGUCCCUAAUGACCAGCCUUCAAGUGUCCAGCCUCCACAGGGACAGGGAAUCCAUGGUGAAGCUGGCUGCGGAGCUGUACCACGGCCCCAAGCUCUGGAGCCCAGAGGAGCCGCCACCCAUGACAACUCCCACAGUGCAGCAAGCGAAGCCGGCUCUGACCCUGCUGGGCAGGCUGACCACCACCUGCCUGUCACCUCCCAUCAGAUGAGGCCCAGGGUGGCACCUGCUGGCAAACCAGUCCUUCCAUCUUCAGGGCUUCCCAAGCCCAGUCCCUUCGAGGAUCCUGUGAGCACCAGGGGAGAAGCCACACUGCACUCCAAGGACUCCGUGAUGGUUACAGUGCAGUGCACCCUCACAGUGGCACUGCGGGCCCCCCGAGAAGCCCAGCUGGCCAGCCUGCAGGCUUUGCUGGCUGAGGCCCUCCCUGCCCAGGCCAGGAAGGCACAGCUUAGUUACUGGGCCCCAGAGGAUGGCCAGUUCUGGGUCCCCAUCCUCAGGGAAGACACACUGCAGAAGGCAUGGAGGGACACAGCCUCUGCCCCCCAAGGGCUGCGGCUCCAGUGCCGGCCACCUCCUGCCACAGGGUGUUGCGGGCCGACCAGUGCUGUACCAGGUGUUAGCCCAGCAUGACUACUCAGCCCAGGGCCCUGAGGACCUGGACCUCCACCGCGGGGACACAGUGGACGUCCUGGGCGAAGUGGAUGAGGCCUGGCUGGAGGGGCACCGGGAUGGCUACAUCGGCAUCUUCCCCAAGAGCUUUGUGGUUCCAGCUAGCGAAGCAGUGCAGGAAGACAGGCUCUGAGCAGCUGUCCAUUCAGAGGGUUUAAUAAAAAUGGUGCCAGCGUG